rnacentral:rRNA from 1 species
UACGGGGGGGGCAAGCGUUGUUCGGAAUUACUGGGCGUAAAGGGUUUGUAGGUGGCUUGCUAAGUCAGACGUGAAAUCCCUCAGCUUAACUGGGGAACUGCGUCUGAGACUGGUGAGCUUGAGUGCAGGAGAGGAACGCGGAAUUCCAGGUGUAGCGGUGAAAUGCGUAGAUAUCUGGAGGAACACCGGUGGCGAAGGCGGCAUCCUGGACCGACACUGACACUGAGGAGCGAAAGCCAGGGGAGCAAACGGG